rnacentral:rRNA from 1 species
UACGUAGGGUGCGAGCGUUAAUCGGAAUUACUGGGCGUAAAGCGUGCGCAGGCGGUUGUGCAAGACAGAUGUGAAAUCCCCGGGCUUAACCUGGGAACUGCAUUUGUGACUGCACGGCUAGAGUGUGUCAGAGGGGGGUAGAAUUCCACGUGUAGCAGUGAAAUGCGUAGAUAUGUGGAGGAAUACCGAUGGCGAAGGCAGCCCCCUGGGAUAACACUGACGCUCAUGCGACGAAAGGGUGGGGAGCAAACAGG